GUGAAGAACGUAGCGAAAUGCGAUAAGUAGUGUGAAUUGCAGAAUUCAGUGAAUCAUCGAAUCUUUGAACGCACAUUGCGCCCCUUGGUAUUCCAUGGGGCAUGCCUGUUCGAGCGUCAUUUGUACCCUCAAGCUUUGCUUGGUGUUGGGUGUUUGUCCCGCGUUGCGCGUGGACUCGCCUUAAAGCGAUUGGCAGCCGGCAUAUUGGCCUUGGCGCGCAGCACAUUUUGCGCUUCUAGUCAUGAAUGUUGGCGUCCAUUAAGCCUAUACAUUUGCUCUUGACCUCGGAUCAGGUAGGGAUACCCGCUGAACUUAAGCAUAUCAAUAAGCGGAGGA
rnacentral:misc_RNA from 1 species